AUUUCAACUACUUGCUCUACCUGCAUUUGCUCAUGUCUUAAGGUUUGAGUAGACUCUAUGUCACCACUCCACAAGCACUUCUCUUCUAUGAUCCCAGCACCAGAUGGAUUUGAAGUAGAACAGGAUAUGGGGUUACUUCCCAUUGUUACAGAUUGGCUUGCACAAUCCAAGAAAGCUUGUAUAUUAGAGUUUUGGUGUACACAGCAGGUUGUUAUGGUUGACGAAAUAUGCAAUGGAUGAAGACAGAAAUAAUUAGCAUCAGGAGAAGGAAUAGAAGGGGUAAAGGGAGUUUUCUUCACGUCCAUGGAAAAAUCUUUCAUUUGUGAACUUACAGUGAAAACUGAUGAGGAGAAGGUGGGCUGGUAAUGAGAAUCUGCGGAGGGUCUGCAUGCAAUAUUAUUGUUAUAGUUUUGUUUAUAAUUAGGAGAUAGGAG
rnacentral:misc_RNA from 1 species